rnacentral:rRNA from 1 species
GUGAGGAAUAUUGGUCAAUGGACGGAAGUCUGAACCAGCCAUGCCGCGUGAAGGAUGAAGGCGUUCUGCGUUGUAAACUUCUUUUAUUAGGGAAGAAACCACUUUUUUCUAAGAGUGUUGACGGUACCUGAUGAUUAAGCACCGGCUAACUCCGUGCCAGCAGCCGCGGUAAUACGGAGGGUGCAAGCGUUAUCCGGAUUUACUGGGUUUAAAGGGUGCGUAGGCGGAUUAUUAAGUCAGUGGUGAAAUCCCGGGGCUCAACCUCGGAACUGCCAUUGAUACUAUUAGUCUUGAAUUAUGUUGAGGUUGGCGGAAUAUAACAUGUAGCGGUGAAAUGCUUAGAUAUGUUAUGGAACACCGAUUGCGAAGGCAGCUGGCUAAACAUAUAUUGACGCUGAUGCACGAAAGCGUGGGUAGCGAACAGGAUUAGAUACCCGGGUAGUCC